rnacentral:snRNA from 1 species
GGAUGUGAGGGCGAUCUGGCUGCUACAGCUGUCACCCCAUUGAUCCCCAGUGAUCCCCAUUGAUCACCAGGGUUGAUUCUGCUGAUCUGGCUGGCUAGGCGGGUGUCCCCUUCCUCCCUCUCUGGUCCAUGUGCAUCCCUCCCAAAGCUGAGCAUUUGGUCAAAGAGGAAGGACUUCCCCUAAUAGAGAUGGACUGAUCUUCGGUCGAGAGUAGCUGUGCUUCCCAGCUAGAACUUCUAACUAGCUUCUCAGUCCAGGACCCACCACGUUGAAGAAGUUUCAGAGCUGUGGUAUUUCAUUCUUU